GUUUAGGAGUGAGCGUGUCGCGUUCGGAGGCGGCGGCAAGUCCCCCUGACCGGGGCCUGUCCGUAGCGGGUGCGAGGCCCAUAGCCGCCGCGUCCGGCGMGAAUGCGAUCUCCUGGGAGUCGGGUUGCUUGGGAGUGCAGCCCCAAUCGGGUGGUAAACUCCACCUAAGGCUAAAUACCGCCGUGAGACCGAUAGCAAACAAGUACCGUGAGGGAAAGUUGCAAAGAACUUUGAAGAGAGAGUUCAAGAGUACGUGAAACUGCUCAGAGGUAAACGGGUGGGCCCUCGAAAUCCUGUGGCGAGAGGAUUCAGUCUGUGCGGGCGGACGKGCGGGAGGAAACGYGCAGGGCUUCCGCCCAUCGCGGGCCGUCUUCCCGUCCGACCUCAGUCCGCGCAGACGCAUUUGUCUCUCGUCCCGAGGACGCUGCAGCCGGUUCGGAAGUGCAAGCGCGACGGCCUGAAGGUCGGGUAAUGGCAGGUGGCCGGUGGCUCUYCUCGUGAGGGUCGCCGGUUGUUAGCCGUCUCGGCAGUGGCUCGUCUCCGGACCGUGGUGUCGCGAGUCCCUUCGGGGACUCCUCGUCUCCACCUCGCUAGUCGCGGGACAGGACCCGGCCAGGAUCUCUUGCGUCGACCGUCGCACUUCCACGGAGUGGGCGGACGAGCACGAGCGCCGAAUCGCCGGGACGGACCCGUCGGGGACCGGAGGCUGGCAGCGAGUAGGUCGGUCACCCACCCGACCCGUCUUGAAACACGGACCAA
rnacentral:rRNA from 1 species